rnacentral:rRNA from 1 species
UACAGAGGGUGCGAGCGUUGUUCGGAAUUACUGGGCGUAAAGCGCGCGCAGGCGGCCUUUUAAGUCUACCCGUGAAAUGCCGGGGCUCAACUUCGUGCACGCCGGGGGAUACUGGGAGGCUGGAGACAGGUAGAGGCAAGCGGAAUUCCGGGUGUAGCGGUGGAAUGCGUAGAGAUCCGGAAGAACACCUGAGGCGAAGGCGGCUUGCUGGACUGGUCCUGACACUCAGGAGCGAAAGCGUGGGGAGCGAUCCGG